GCGGGUGUAGCUCAAUUGGUAGAGCGCCUGACUGUGGAUCAGGUCAUUACCGGUUCAAAUCCGGUCACUCGCC
rnacentral:tRNA from 1 species